GGAGCGUUAUACUCUGCAUUCCUUGCUAUGCAUUUGGCAUCUGGAGUGCCUGGUGUAUUGGCAGCCCUGGCUUUAGCUUACAACACUAAUCUAUUUGGUGCUUUGACACAUUAUAGCAGUGGUCAAGCUGCUGUCUAUUUUGGAGCUGGUUAUGUAGAUCUCCCGGAUGUCUUCAAAAUGGGAUUUGUAAUGGCAAUCGUCAAUGCUAUUAUAUGGGGAGUCGUUGGAACAUUUUGGUGGAAAUUCUUGGGUCUAUACUGAUUCUGCAAGUACAUUUUUCCCCAUUUAUACGUGUUGUGGCAUUUUAGCAACGACCUCGAUGUUAUUGAAGUACAAUCUCUAUAUUAGUGUCAGCAUUUCCCCAUUGUAAUAUUCUUUAAAACACGCGGAUGAAAAAAAGAAUGUAUUUUUUUUUUUUUGCUGUCU
rnacentral:misc_RNA from 1 species